GCGGCGUGCUUAACACAUGCAAGUCGAACGGAAAGGCCCUGCUUUUGUGGGGUGCUCGAGUGGCGAACGGGUGAGUAACACGUGAGUAACCUGCCCUUGACUUUGGGAUAACUUCAGGAAACUGGGGCUAAUACCGGAUAGGAGCUCCUGCUGCAUGGUGGGGGUUGGAAAGUUUCGGCGGUUGGGGAUGGACUCGCGGCUUAUCAGCUUGUUGGUGGGGUAGUGGCUUACCAAGGCUUUGAUGGGUAGCCGGCCUGAGAGGGUGACCGGCCACAUUGGGACUGAGAUACGGCCCAGACUCCUACGGGAGGCAGCAGUGGGGAAUAUUGCACAAUGGGCGGAAGCCUGAUGCAGCAACGCCGCGUGCGGGAUGACGGCCUUCGGGUUGUAAACCGCUUUCGCCUGUGACGAAGCGUGAGUGACGGUAAUGGGUAAAGAAGCACCGGCUAACUACGUGCCAGCAGCCGCGGUGAUACGUAGGGUGCGAGCGUUGUCCGGAUUUAUUGGGCGUAAAGGGCUCGUAGGUGGUUGAUCGCGUCGGAAGUGUAAUCUUGGGGCUUAACCCUGAGCGUGCUUUCGAUACGGGUUGACUUGAGGAAGGUAGGGGAGAAUGGAAUUCCUGGUGGAGCGGUGGAAUGCGCAGAUAUCAGGAGGAACACCAGUGGCGAAGGCGGUUCUCUGGGCCUUUCCUGACGCUGAGGAGCGAAAGCGUGGGGAGCGAACAGGCUUAGAUACCCUGGUAGUCCACGCUGUAAACGGUGGGUACUAGGUGUGGGGUCCAUUCCACGGGUUCCGUGCCGUAGCUAACGCUUUAAGUACCCCGCCUGGGGAGUACGGCCGCAAGGCUAAAACUCAAAGGAAUUGACGGGGCCCCGCACAAGCGGCGGAGCAUGCGGAUUAAUUCGAUGCAACGCGUAGAACCUUACCUGGGUUUGACAUGGAUCGGGAGUGCUCAGAGAUGGGUGUGCCUCUUUUGGGGUCGGUUCACAGGUGGUGCAUGGCUGUCGUCAGCUCGUGUCGUGAGAUGUUGGGUUAAGUCCCGCAACGAGCGCAACCCUUGUUCACUGUUGCCAGCACGUUAUGGUGGGGACUCAGUGGAGACCGCCGGGGUCAACUCGGAGGAAGGUGGGGAUGACGUCAAGUCAUCAUGCCCCUUAUGUCCAGGGCUUCACGCAUGCUACAAUGGCUGGUACAGAGAGUGGCGAGCCUGUGAGGGUGAGCGAAUCUCGGAAAGCCGGUCUCAGUUCGGAUUGGGGUCUGCAACUCGACCUCAUGAAGUCGGAGUCGCUAGUAAUCGCAGAUCAGCAACGCUGCGGUGAAUACGUUCCCGGGGCUUGUACACACCGCCCGUCAAGUCAUGAAAGUUGGUAACACCCGAAGCCGGUGGCCUAACCGUUGUGGGGGAGCCGUCGAAGGUGGGACUGGUGAUUAGG
rnacentral:rRNA from 1 species